rnacentral:rRNA from 1 species
CAGAUUCACUUCGGUGAUGACGCUGGGAACGCGAGCGGCGGAUGGGUGAGUAACACGUGGGUAACCUGCCCUAAAGUCUGGGAUACCACUUGGAAACAGGUGCUAAUACCGGAUAACAACAAUAGCUGCAUGGCUAUUGCUUAAAAGGCGGCGAAAGCUGUCGCUAAAGGAUGGACCCGCGGUGCAUUAGCUAGUUGGUAAGGUAAUGGCUUACCAAGGCGACGAUGCAUAGCCGAGUUGAGAGACUGAUCGGCCACAUUGGGACUGAGACACGGCCCAAACUCCUACGGGAGGCAGCAGUAGGGAAUCUUCCACAAUGGGCGAAAGCCUGAUGGAGCAACGCCGCGUGAGUGAAGAAGGUUUUCGGAUCGUAAAGCUCUGUUGUUGGUGAAGAAGGAUAGAGGUAGUAACUGGCCCCUAUUUGACGGUAAUCAACCAGAAAGUCACGGCUAACUACGUGCCAGCAGCCGCGGUAAUACGUAGGUGGCAAGCGUUGUCCGGAUUUAUUGGGCGUAAAGCGAGCGCAGGCGGAAAGAUAAGUCUGAUGUGAAAGCCCCCGGCUUAACCGAGGAAUUGCAUCGGAAACUGUGUUUCUUGAGUGCAGAAGAGGAGAGUGGAACUCCAUGUGUAGCGGUGGAAUGCGUAGAUAUAUGGAAGAACACCAGUGGCGAAGGCGGCUCUCUGGUCUGUAACUGACGCUGAGGCUCGAAAGCAUGGGUAGCGAACAGGAUUAGAUACCCUGGUAGUCCAUGCCGUAAACGAUGAGUGCUAAGUGUUGG